UACGUAGGGUGCAAGCGUUGUCCGGAUUUAUUGGGCGUAAAGAGCUCGUAGGCGGUCUGUCGCGUCGGAUGUGAAAACCCAGGGCUCAACCCUGGGCCUGCAUUCGAUACGGGCAGACUAGAGUGUGGCAGGGGAGACUGGAAUUCCUGGUGUAGCGGUGAAAUGCGCAGAUAUCAGGAGGAACACCGGUGGCGAAGGCGGGUCUCUGGGCAUUACCUGACGCUGAGGAGCGAAAGCAUGGGGAGCGAACAGG
rnacentral:rRNA from 1 species